rnacentral:rRNA from 1 species
UGGGGAAUCUUGGACAAUGGGCGCAAGCCUGAUCCAGCCAUGCCGCGUGAGUGAUGAAGGCCUUAGGGUUGUAAAGCUCUUUUUGCCGGGGACGAUAAUGACGGUACCCGGAGAAUAAGUCCCGGCUAACUUCGUGCCAGCAGCCGCGGUAAUACGAAGGGGACUAGCGUUGUUCGGAAUCACUGGGCGUAAAGCGCACGUAGGCGGAUUUGUAAGUCAGGGGUGAAAUCCCGGGGCUCAACCUCGGAACUGCCUUUGAUACUGCGGAUCUCGAGUCCGAUAGAGGUGAGUGGAAUUCCUAGUGUAGAGGUGAAAUUCGUAGAUAUUAGGAAGAACACCAGUGGCGAAGGCGGCCAACUGGCACAUUUCUGACGCUGAGGUGCGAAAGCGUGGGGAGCAAACAGGAUUAGAUACCCCGGUAGUCCCUGAGCGGGCUGGCAAGGCGCAU